rnacentral:rRNA from 1 species
UACGAAGGGGGCUAGCGUUGCUCGGAAUCACUGGGCGUAAAGCGCACGUAGGCGGCUCGUUAAGUCGGGGGUGAAAUCCUGGAGCUCAACUCCAGAACUGCCCUCGAUACUGAUGAGCUCGAGUCCGGGAGAGGUGAGUGGAACUGCGAGUGUAGAGGUGAAAUUCGUAGAUAUUCGCAAGAACACCAGUGGCGAAGGCGGCUCACUGGCCCGGUACUGACGCUGAGGUGCGAAAGCGUGGGGAGCAAACAGG